rnacentral:tRNA from 1 species
GCAGUUGUAGCUCAGCUGGUUAGAGCGCGUGUCUGUGGAACAGGAGGUCGGUGGUUCGAGCCCACCCAACUGUACCA